rnacentral:lncRNA from 1 species
AUCCAACAUACGGAUCUUCCCGAAUUGGAUGUGUAAGUUUAUAAAAUAAAUGUUAAUCGCCACUCGGUUUUGGACAAUUGGCGGAGAUCCAACCGUUGGAUUGCAAUGAAAUUGUAGUAUGUUAUUCUAAAAGAAUAAUGUGUAUCUUUGGAAGUUGCGGAUUGAAAAUCUAAUAUGCAGAUCCUCUGGAUCAAGUUAUAUAGGUUUGUAGAUCCUACCGUCGAUCUUUGAUCGACGAUUGACUUAUGGUCAAUGGGUCUCAAACUAUUUUAGAAUGUCCUUGAGGAUGUAUUUUAUGUGAAUUACCUAUUCUAUUGAUGAGGAUUAUGAGAUGUGGUUGAUAAUUGGCCGCAGGCGCCGAUCGCUUGGGACGCCCCGAUGGUUGUGCUAAGAAGUUGUAGCACGGACUCCAGGUGAGUGGAUCUUUCCUUGCUCAUCUUAUGUUUCAUGAUUGAUAAUUCUAUAAAUGCUUUUAAAUAAAACUGAGAAACUUAUGCCAUGACAUAUAUAUAUAUAUAUAUAUGUUAUAAAAUACUAUGAGAUGGUUGAGUUAGAUUUCAUCGUGAUCUAUCCAUAUGCGCAUUACUAUAAAUGAUUAUUGUGAAGUACGAAUGGUUUGAUUCCUGUUUAGGGUACGUAGGCAAUCUAACGAGAUGUUAGAUGUAACCAUAUAAGAAAUGAGAUUCAAUAACCGAGACCAUAGCCUUGUUUAAGGAAUUGAGCAAUAUGUGUGGGCUUUUGGUUUUAAGUAUAUAUGUAUACACUUGAUAUUUUCCCAGAAAUAUGUUUAAAUGAGAUUAUGCCUUGAAUGCCAUGCAUAUAAGUUUAUAAUUCGUAUAUGAAUUGGUAUAUGAUGCAUUAUAUAUAAUUGUGUUGCUGUGAACACUCUGAAGUGCAAAGGUGAACGUAGGACAUUCAGGUAA